rnacentral:rRNA from 1 species
AUUGAACGCUGGCGGCAGGCCUAACACAUGCAAGUCGAGCGAAAGGCGGACGGGUGAGUGAUGUAUGGGGACUGCCCGUUAGAGAGGGUUAACUACUGGAAACGGUGGCUAAUACCGCACACUGGAGGAGAACCAAAAUGGGAUGAGCUAGUAGGUAAGGUAAUGGCUUACCCAGGAGACGAUCCCUAGCUGUUCUGAGAGGAUAAUCAGCCACACGGGGAAUGAGACACGGCCCAGACUCCUACGGAGGCAGCAGUGGGGAAUAUUGCACAAUGGGCGCAAGCCUGAUGCAGCCAUGCCGCGUGUAUGAAGAAGGCCCUAGGGUUGUAAAGUACUUUCAGUCGGUAGGCGUUACCGAUAGAAGAAGCACCGUCUGACUCCGUGCCAGCCGCCGCGGUAAUUC